rnacentral:lncRNA from 1 species
AUUACACCAACACUCAUUAUAAGAGUUAGUACCUAAUAUUUACCAAUAUGGUAAAAGUCUAAGGUUUUAGCAUUGCGCCAAAAUGUAUCAAUAAUAUUUCGGCUUUGAACUCUUUUUUAUGUCCCAGGUUGUGUGUCAAACUGUACUACAGGGUAUUGUAAUGAAAUUCUACAAUAUAUUUAAUGUAUUAUAAUUAUAACUAUUACAUGAUAUUCAUAUAAUGACAUGCAAAAGAAAAGAUAUUUUCACAUCGAAUGUAGUUGAUAACAAAUACACGAUAUUUAACUAUAUUCAAAUAAUAAAAAUAUUAUAGACAUGUUAUUGAAAAUAUAGCAUCAUUGCACCUAUUAAUUAUUAUACACAUCGAACUUUUCCUCGUCAUCCUUUUCAUAUUCAUUCCCUG